GCCUGCACAAUAAUGUAGAAAACACACACACUCAGACACGAAAAUCAAACAAAAAGCCAGCAGCAAGUGUCUGAAAUCGCUUAUACCUCGCACAUUUUAUGGCAUUCCGAAAUAAACUGUGAAGCGAUAAGCCGCCUGGAUACAACAGCACAGCACAAAUAACUGUACAGAAGCAUUUUUAAAGAAUUUUAUAGCAUGAGCCGAGCCGAGAUUACGUAUACGCCACGGGCCGCUGAUUAAAUAUGCCGAUUAAAUAUUCAUUUGCUGACGCAGCAACGCGUCACUUAAAACACAUUUUCUGUGUCUGGCCGGCCGUCCCCACACAAUUUUUGCUAUAGUAUUUGUUAUUUGCCUACGUCAGAAAAACAAUAACAAUAACACAACACACGGCAAAAGCGAAUAAAAAAUAAAACAACUUGUUUCCAGACUCAAGUACAACACAGGGACGGAGUGGAGGGGAGGGGGAGGAAAGACAUCAAUAAUACACAUCUGCUAAAGAGGAGAGACGCUACCGGUUUUGCUCUGAGCUUAACGCAAUGUCGACAGG